rnacentral:rRNA from 1 species
GUCCACGCCCUAAACGAUGCGAACUGGACGUUGGGAGCAAUUAGGCUCUCAGUGUCGAAGCUAACGCGUUAUGUUCGCCGCCUGGGGAGUACGGUCGCAAGACUGAAACUCAAAGGAAUUGACGGGGGCCCCGCACAAGCGGUGGAGUAUGUGGUUUAAUUCGAUGCAACGCGAAGAACCUUACCUGGCCUUGACAUCCACGGAAUCUUUGAGAGAUCAGAGAGUGCCUUCGGGAACCGUGAGACAGGUGCUGCAUGGCUGUCGU